rnacentral:rRNA from 1 species
UGGGGAAUUUUGGACAAUGGGCGCAAGCCUGAUCCAGCCAUGCCGCGUGCGGGAAGAAGGCCUUCGGGUUGUAAACCGCUUUUGUCAGGGAAGAAACGCUCUGGGCUAAUACCCUGGGGUAAUGACGGUACCUGAAGAAUAAGCACCGGCUAACUACGUGCCAGCAGCCGCGGUAAUACGUAGGGUGCAAGCGUUAAUCGGAAUUACUGGGCGUAAAGCGUGCGCAGGCGGUUAUGCAAGACAGAUGUGAAAUCCCCGGGCUCAACCUGGGAACUGCAUUUGUGACUGUAUAGCUAGAGUACGGUAGAGGGGGAUGGAAUUCCGCGUGUAGCAGUGAAAUGCGUAGAUAUGCGGAGGAACACCGAUGGCGAAGGCAAUCCCCUGGACCUGUACUGACGCUCAAACACGAAAGCGUGGGUAGCGAACCGGAUUAGAUACCCCCGUAGUCCCUGAGCGGGCUGGCAAGGCGCAU